UGUUAACUGCUGUGCUUCCUUGGUAUCAGGGUUGGUCAGAAGAGCAGAAUAGACUGUCACUUCUUUGAAGCGUGUCCAAGCUGAAGUGGGAAGCUUCACAAAAUUCCUGUGUCGGCCUGCUGAUCACAGACCUCUUCUCUUAGUUUCAAUCCACUUACCCAAGUCUUUUUGUACUUAUCCUUUUUUUGUAGGCUACUUUGAAGUCUGUAUGGUUACAUCUCCACUUUCUUGACUGGGAACUUCAGAAAUGGACCCUAGUUGGUUGCCUUUUAUCUCCCUGGUGUGGACAAGAAGGAGCACAGAGGUCUCCUCUCGAUCCGAUACCCAAUGGAACAUGGCAUAGUGAAGGACUGGAAUGAUACGGAGCGCAUUUGGCAGUACGUGUGUUCCAAAGAUCAGCUUCGGACUUCCUCAGAGGAGCAUCCUGUGCUGUUGACAGAAGCACCACUAAACCCACUCAAGAACAGAGAACGUGCUGCUGAACUGAAGUGUUUUUUGAGACCUUCAAUGUUCCAGCACUGUUCAUCUCCAUGCAGGCUGUGCUCAGUCUGUAUGCUGCUGGGAGGACCACAGGAGUGGUGCUGGGCUCUGGGGAUGGCGUUACCCACGCAGUGCCCAUCUGUAAAGGUUUUGCCAUGCCUCACUCCAUCAUGCAGAUUGACAUUGCAGGCCGCGAUGUCUCGCGCUUCCUGAGUCUCUGUCUCCGGAAGGAAGGCUACAACUUCAACACGACCUCAGAGUUGGAGAUUGACAAGACCAUCAAGGAGGUGACAUAGUCUACACCCUGAAAUGCCAAACGAAGCCAGAUUUUGGCGAAGAAUCGAUGGAGUUAGAAGCGUGUUGGCUCAGUAAGAAUGAAGCAGCUGGUAUCAGGAGACAGAGGCCAGAGGCUUAGAGGGCAUGCUUGGUCUACAAGAGGCCGGUGGAAGACUUUUUAUCCAGCUGCCACGUGUGACUGCUGCUCAGAAAGCCACAAUGUUGUACUGAGACUUGAAUCAUCAUUUUAGAAAAAUCAGUUUGGAAAGGGAGAGACAGCGCUUGACCUUGCAAUUCAAACUCAGAAUCGCUUUGUCGUUUAUAUGUUAAUGGAGGAAGGAAGAAUGAGAAGCAGAAGGAAUGACAGGUUACUGAGAAUGAUGGAGAAAUA